rnacentral:ncRNA from 2 species
GGGAAGCCGGUGCGAAUCCGGCGCUGACCCGCAACCGUGAGCGGUCCGCCACGCCGUCGCGUACGUCCGACACAGAUCGCCUCCCGCGAUCCGGCC